GUCCUGAUAGGGUAAAGGAUAUCCUGAAAGCCUCCGGAGCUUUCGAUCCGGGUUCAAUUCCCGGUCAGGACG
rnacentral:tRNA from 1 species